UGGGAUUGAUUCGAUGCAAUGGCGAACCGACCAGAUGCCGCGUGUGUGAAGAAGGCCCUUCGGGUUGUAAAGCACUUUUGUCCGGAAAGAAAAUCCUUGGCUCUAAUACAGUCGGGGGAUGACGGUACCGGAAGAAUAAGCACCGGCUAACUACGUGCCAGCAGCCGCGGUAAUACGUAGGGUGCAAGCGUUAAUCGGAAUUACUGGGCGUAAAGCGUGCGCAGGCGGUUUGCUAAGACCGAUGUGAAAUCCCCGGGCUCAACCUGGGAACUGCAUUGGUGACUGGCAGGCUAGAGUAUGGCAGAGGGGGGUAGAAUUCCACGUGUAGCAGUGAAAUGCGUAGAGAUGUGGAGGAAUACCGAUGGCGAAGGCAGCCCCCUGGGCCAAUACUGACGCUCAUGCACGAAAGCGUGGGGAGCAAACAGGAUUAGAUACCCUGGUAGUCCACGCCCUAAACGAUGUCAACUAGUUGUUGGGGAUUCAUUUCCUUAGUAACGUAGCUAACGCGUGAAGUUGACCGCCUGGGGAGUACGGUCGCAAGAUUAAAACUU
rnacentral:rRNA from 1 species